rnacentral:tRNA from 1 species
AAGUGCAGUUUCAUGCAACUCUACACUUGUGUGCAUUUGCCGGCCUGUUGCCACCUUGCU